rnacentral:snRNA from 1 species
AAAACUGGAACAAUACAGAGAAGAUUAGCAUGACCUCCAGGCAAAGAUGAUACACAAAUUCAUGAAGCAUUCCAUAUUUUU